ensembl:lncRNA
UAUUUUGUGUCUGAAGCUGUUUCAUUGUCAUAAAUGCCUUAGCUAGAAGUGAUUUCAGCAAAUGAACUUCAGGGAGCAUGGCCGGGUGGUAAGAGGCCAUCAGUGGUUCAACAUUUGCUGUGUGUGUUGCUACGUUUUGCUUUUUGCUUUGCUUUUACUCCAGAAGGAAGCUUGAAGGUGGAAAGCAGUUAUUGAGUAGCUCUAGUCUUUCCAUGUGGCCGUGGAGCCUGACCCUCUCAGUACUAAUCAGAGAUGUCUAAGUCGGAGAAGGCGACGGCACCCCACUCCAGUACUCUUGCCUGGAAAAUCCAACGGAUGGAGGAGCCUGGUAGGCUGCAGUCCAUGGGGUCCCGAAGAGUCGGACAUGACUGAGCGACUUCCCUUUCAAUUUUCACUUUCAUGCAUUGGAGAAGGAAAUGGCAACCCACUCCAGUGUUCUUGCCUGGAGAAUCCCAGGGAUGGGGGAGCCUGGUGGGCUGCCAUCUAUGGGGUCGCACAGAGUCAGACACGACUGAAGUGACUUAGCAAGGGGAAAACCACACGCUACCAGCGUCUGCCGCAGUAAACCUUUCUAAUAACUGAUGGGCUCCAGGGGUCGCCUCUCAUUACGCUGGGCAACGUCGUAAACUGAUUUCAGAGGUUGUGUGCCCACAGGAUUCAUCACAUUCAGAACAGGCGUGGGAGGUGGGCAGAUCAGCCACGUGAGUCACCUCGUCAUGGCCCAGAUCGUACAGGAAACACCCCCAAAGCCUGACACUCCGGUUGGAGGAGGACAAAGAAGAGAAUGUCUGUGUCCAGCAGCGACUGCCAGGUUUCCUGUCCACGUCGCAGUCCUGGAAGCCCCUGGACUCCACCGCAGCCUUGCUUGUCUGGAACACGAGUCCCUCAGAAGAAAGGACCCCUGACAUCCCAACCCCUGAGCGCUCAGGCCAUCCUUGAAAGGGUUCUGCUCAAGGCCUUCCGUCCACCCAAGUGGUCUCUCCUGCCGUGGGAGCCACCAACAAACACCUGGAGUCCACGAGGGAGGCGGCGAGUUCAUAAGUACUUCACCAUCCUGGUUUCUGCCUGGCAAGAACUAUAAAUACAAUGGAAUACUGCUCAGCUCUAAACAAGAAUGCCGUUUUGCCAGUCGCAACAGCAUGGAUGAACCUGGAGGGAAUCAUGCGUGAGGAAAUAAGUCAGGCAGAGAAAAAUAACCAUAUGAUAUCACUCAUAUGUGUAUUAUAAAAAAACCUGAAACAAUCUACUGAAUAUAACAAAAGUAAACAGAUAUGGAGAACAAACCCCAUGCCUGCAGGACGAGAGAAAUGAGGAGGGGCUGGACAGGGGUAGAGAGUUUAGAGACACAAACCGCUGUGUGUAAAAUAAAUCAGCCACAAGGCCCA